AGCCUCAUUCCAGAUAAGAAUGGGCACUGAUCAGGGUUCAAAAUUGGUCACUGAGGCUACAUUGAGACACAGGUUGUGCUUCCAUCACGGUAAAUGCAUUGCAGUGGUGACAAUGAGUCCUGUAACAUUU